CCUGUUCUUAGAGCCACUGCAGAUGUGGCAGCUGUGUCACAUGUGUGUCAGCAGAUGGCAGAGAGGAGAGAAGUUGUGUCUGCCCUCAGCGCUCUAACCUGUGAACAUCUGAAUGAUUAGUAGUUGUGAACAUC
ensembl:snoRNA LOC120103309 small nucleolar RNA SNORA17